rnacentral:rRNA from 1 species
GAUGAACGCUAGCUACAGGCUUAACACAUGCAAGUCGAGGGGAAACGACAUCGAAAGCUUGCUUUUGAUGGGCGUCGACCGGCGCACGGGUGAGUAACGCGUAUCCAACCUGCCCACCACUUGGGGAUAACCUUGCGAAAGUAAGACUAAUACCCAAUGACGUCUCUAGAAGACAUCUGAAUGAGAUUAAAGAUUUAUCGGUGAUGGAUGGGGAUGCGUCUGAUUAGCUUGUUGGCGGGGUAACGGCCCACCAAGGCGACGAUCAGUAGGGGUUCUGAGAGGAAGGUCCCCAACAUUGGAACUGAGACACGGUCCAAACUCCUACGGGAGGCAGCAGUGAGGAAUAUUGGUCAAUGGGCGAGAGCCUGAACCAGCCAAGUAGCGUGCAGGAUGACGGCCCUAUGGGUUGUAAACUGCUUUUAUAAGGGAAUAAAGUGAGUCUCGUGAGACUUUUUGCAUGUACCUUAUGAAUAAGGACCGGCUAAUUCCGUGCCAGCCGCCGCCGUAA